GACGAACCGUGCGAACGUUGUUCGGAUUCACUGGGCUUAAAGGGCGCGUAGGCGGGGGGUCAAGUCUGGGGUGAAAUCCCGCGGCUCAACCGUGGAACUGCCUUAGAUACUGACGGCCUCGAGGAAGGUAGGGGCAUGCGGAACUGUAGGUGGAGCGGUGAAAUGCGUUGAUAUCUACAGGAACUCCGGUGGCGAAAGCGGCGUGCUGGACCUUUUCUGACGCUGAGGCGCGAAAGCUAGGGGGAGCAAACGGG
rnacentral:rRNA from 1 species